UAUUAUUUUGAUUGUAAAUUUGUAUACUAGAGUAGUAUUAGUUAAGAUCUUGAAACUCAAAGAAUUUGGCGGUGUUCAAGUCUUUUCAGAGGAAUCUGUCCUGUAAUCGAUAAUACACGAUAAAUUAUGCUUGAUUUUGUAAUUUCAGUUUGUAUACUUCCGUCAUAAGUUUAUUUUAAUAGAAUUUAAAUUUACUUAAAAUUAAAUGAUAAUAUGUCAGGUCAAGGUGCAGCUUAUAGUUAAGAGGGCGAUGGAUUACAAUAAUGUUAUUUAUAAAUGGAUUUUUUGAUGAAAUUUGAAGAUGAAGGUGGAUUUGAAUGUAAUGGUGUUAAAUUAUGGCAUUAUGAUUUAAGCUCUGGAACAUGUACAUAUCGCCCGUCACUCUCGCUAUAAUGUGAG
rnacentral:rRNA from 1 species